rnacentral:lncRNA from 1 species
UUUGCCUGGGGCAAAAUGCAUAGACAUACAUCAGAUGUGUUUUUUGUUUAAAUUGGCUUGUAUAUCAGUGUGACUGUGCAGGGAGGAAGCUUUUAAAGGUAGUACUGNAUUUGUUUCUUAAAAAGAGCCUUAAUCAAGCCUUCCAUUUAAAGUUAUACAAGAUGCCAUGGAAGGCUAAUUAAUAGUAUGACCGAAAGAACUGGAAUUAGUAAGAAUAACAAAAAUCAUACAGGAAGAUUUCACAAUGGGGUUUUUGCCUGACUGGAUGGUUGAUUCUGAUCUAUCUGUAAUCCAUUUUAAGUAUAAACUGAAUUAUGCAAAAUAAGAUUCUGAUCUUACAGCUCUUAUGCACUUGUUUCCAGGAGCAAAAGAGAAUGAAAUAUGUAGAAUGGGCUUCUUCACCACCACCACCAACACCACCAUCAUCAUUAUUGUUGUUGUUCUGGCAAAUAUUCUUUUUCUCUUCCAUCCAAGUGACUGUCCACACAGAAGCACAGAUCAGUUUAGGUCAGGCUACGUUGUGAGCAGCUCCCAUGAUGCAUCCCACAAUCAGCUUUCAAUGCAUUCCAAAGUGCCAUUUCAGGAGUCUCCAAACUACCUUAAAAUAGCCCGAAAAUGUCUUUUCUUACUGUGUGUCAUUCCCAAGUUUCACUGGUUUUGAUUUACUUUGGGUGUUAUGGGCAUUACUACGAACACAUCUAUAGUAGGUGUGCAUACACAUAACACGCAAAGGACAUGUAUCUCUGGACUUUGGACUAUACAGCUGUAUGGGUGUUCUAACCAUGGCUUGCUCGUGGAAGGCAACUUGAAAGCAUUAUAAAGGAAAAGCCAUCUUGGAAGAAAAGACAAACCCCAUUUUGAAAUUGAGACUUUUUUCCUUCACACCUCCAUCUUCAUUUUAAGACAGAAGAAGUUUUCUGUAGACUGGAAAACCCUAGAAGCAUGUUGCAGGAGCACCUGGACUCUGCUUUUGUUUUGUUAACAUUGUCUUCACACUUGGCACAAUGCUCUUAGCGCAGCAAUGCUCUUUAAACUUCUCUUAGCAGUACCCUUGCCAUUGUGUCACACCAUUGUAACUUUGCUUUUUAUCUUUGAACCUGCCUGAUCACUAUAUUAUUAUCAAAGCCUGUUAUCUUGUUGAUGGCUGUUGCAGCCACUCAAUAAAUUGCUUCUUAUCCUUUUUAUUGUUUGAAAU